UUCAAUGUAUUCUUUCAACAAGUGAACUUCUUUUGUGUGUGUUGUGGCAAAUGCAAAGUAGAACCAAACUAAUCUUGUUGUUUGUUAAAGCCAAAGGUAUGUUCUUACACAUCUGUGCAUUGUUCACAGUAUGCCCACUCUUUUCCCAGUGUACCCACAGUAUACCCACACUUUGCCCACAGUGUGGGCUUGCUGUGGGCCCACAAAUGGUUAGUUUUGCUCUGCGAUGCGUUACCUCAGUUUUAAUUCAUAAAAUAAACUUACCUGUAUGAGUAGUAUUUAAGCACUUGCAAGUAGGCCUACUUCAGUAGAAUGAAUUGACUCUUUCCUAUAGAGAUUGCUAAUGUGUCGUCAUCAUGACGUAUUCCCGGUGGUGAACGCAAAGCAUUUUGGGAAUCCGCGGCACAAACAUACACAAGGCGCCCGCCAUACUUCUUUGCAUGGAGGGAAGAACGCAGUGUUCAAGAUGCCGUAUACCUGCUGUUUUAUACAGUAAAGUCGCCGCAGCAGGCACAGGUCUUUUUUACAGAUGGAUGCAGGACCUGGAGAUUGUAAAAGUGGGGCAGAAAACUGUCGUCCGUUCAAAUGUAUGCUAAUGUUUUAAGCACCACACUCUUUGCUCUCUCUCAUCUAUCUGCAUGCAGUCAGAAUUCAACAAACCAGCGUGUGUGUGAGAGAUUUUGGUUGGGUGACAGUUGUAGGUUACAGUUUGACAAGUUUACAUUUUGACAAAAGCACAAUGUUGUGUUUUAUUGUGUGUACACAAAUAUAAGUAAACACUUUGCAGUUUGAAAGAUGUCCUGUAUGAACAAAAUGACGGAGUAUGUUUUUAUGUUUCCACUGUUCGAUCGCGCCCGCGCCUCUCUCUCUCUCACACACACACACAUACGCUGGUUUGUUGAAUUCUGACUGCACGCAGAUAGAUGAGAGAGAGCGAGGAGUGUGUGCUAAAAACAUUAGCAUACCUUUGAACGGAAGACAGUUUUCUGCCCCACUUUUACAAUCUCCAGGUUCUGGACCCAUCCAUCUGUAAACCUGGGCCUGUUGCAGCGACUUGAAGUUACUGAAAACUUUGUGUGUAUGCACUAACACUUAAUAUCAUGUAGUUGUGUGUAAAUAUAUAUUUGUGUGUAAAAUUAUAUAUAUAUAUAUAUAUAUAUAUAUAUAUAUAUAUAUAUAUGGUGGCCAUUUCCAUAACACCAAAAAGGAGGACACUUUGCGGCAUUUAGUGAGGCAAGAAUAAUUGCAUAGGACUCUGAUGUACUCGCGACUACAAUGUACUCGUAAUACAAUUUUGUCCAUUAUAUCGAUGGUAUCAUGAUACAGUGAUUCUGAAAAAGAACUCAUUGCCGGACAAUUUGAUGUAGACCUAUGUGUAACAGAAGAGGCAAAAAGUGUUUGUUCACAGUAUUUGUAUUUGUAUUUAUUCAAGACAUUGUGAUGUCUGUUUCACAAUGUGAUGUCCUUUAUUUUCUCGUCAUAUCUCGUCUUUGCAUUAGGAUUUAGUUUUAGGCGGUAUGGUCCGACAAUGUUUUCUUUAGCCCGCUGCAUUUUGUAGGAUUAUAUUCUGUUUAUCACGCUAAUUUUUAAUUAUUUUCAUGCCAGAACACUAGCCUGCAAUGCCAGCCCAUGUAAACUGGCCAAACAUACCCAUAAUUCUUUGCGUUCUGAUGACGUUGCCACCCAGUUGGUCACAUGUCUUAGCGAUCUCUAUUCCUGGAAAUGCAGGCUGGGACUCGCGUGUGGCACUGAAAUCAGUCUCUCGUUGCAAUCGCGCCCGCGAUUCCACGCCGAGAUUGUGCCUUUAGCACAGGUAAAUUAAAUUAAUUUAAUACAUAUGCAGUGUCAUUUUGCAUUAAUCACUUCCUGGAUCUGAAUACUUACCUGAAAUAUGUCAAACACCCUUUAUUUCAUUUACAUCACCCCCCAUACGGUAAAAAAAUAUAUUUUAUCUGGCCAAAAUAUAUUUUAAAUAUAUGGUAAAUAUAUGUUACAAACAGUGAAGUUCAAUGAAAUAUAUUUUUGAAACUGAAAAUAUAUUUUGUUUCAACCUUCAUAUACUUAAAAUAUAUUUAAACAUGUAUUUCAGGGGCAGGAAAAUAUAUUUAUAUAUAAAAAUAUAUUUCAGGGCGCAAGAAAAUACAUUUCCAAUCUUACAGUCGACAAUGCAAAUGUGGGUGGAAGAAAGCCUUGCGAUCAAAACUCUCCAUCAUGUUAGAAGAAUUUUAAACACUUCCAGAAAAAACAUGAAUUUCCCCAUAUUUUCCACAUUGACCACUUUGUUCACAUAUGAUCUGCCCAAAAAAUACAGAGUUAUCAUGGCACCUCACAAAUGUGUGUUUUAGUCUAUUACUUAUUAAUUCAUUUAUUUAUUUGUAAUUUAUUGUCAGUGUAAUAUAGCGUUUAACAAAUACAAAUAAAUAGAUGAAUAAAAUCGCUAGAUGUACGAUGUUAACUGUGACGUAAUUUGAAUGGGAAACCACUAGCAGCGCUCACGGACUUUUGGAGUACAGCGCAUGCGCGUCAUUUUGAUCUGUAACGGUCGUCAGUCAACCGGGAGUUCACGGAGUAAAAGGUAAUGAGCUAUAACUUUAUUUUUAGUCGUCCUUUUUCACAUAUGUAAUGUUAAUUGCUGCUUUGAAUGUAUAAUGUUUUGUAUUGUCAAGGUUUUUUUAACUUUAUUUGUCAAUUUAAUGCCGUUUGUUUCAUUUGCUCACAUGAGGAGUUUGCACUUGAUAUGUUCAGAUUUCCGUUUUAACGUCAUUUGUUUUUAAUUUGGACACUAGUGAAAACUAACGUUACACACAAAAAAAAAGUUUAAUUUUUUUUUUUAAAUUUCAGCUGUAGAGUGGAGACAGUGCUGCCUGCUGUUGUCGAUCGAUGAUGUUCACGUGAUCCUGUCACUGAUAGUGGAGCCUGUAACGUAAUUUUUUUUUUUUUUUUGCUAAAUUUAAAUGUUUUACUAAACUUGUUAAUUAGGCACACGUUAUUCGCUCGUUAUUAGAGUUCAGGCAUAUGUUGGUUUGCCAUUAAUGGCAUUUCAUGCGCUCAAUUUUUCUACUAUUAUUAUUAUCAUUAUUAAUAUAGCCUAGGUUACUAUAAUAUAUUCACUUUCUGCUGAAUGACAAGCUGUUUUCGAUGAUCCAGUUGAGCCAGUGAUUCAAUAAGUCGCUUGUAACAGAAGAUGCUUAUUUGUCACGACCUACAGGUUUACAUGUGUCAUUAAUUAAUUACUGUAAAAAAUCUACUUUUUAUUUUCAGUAGCAGAAGCAGAGACGUUAUUUUCGAAAAUUAUAUUUAAUUUUAAUUUUAAUUUUUAAAAGAAAUUAUAUUAUUUUAUUUGUGUAAUUUAUGAAUUGAUAUGUUCUCUGCACUUGUGUUAAUAUCUGUUUCUGUCUGGAAUAGGUGCGGGUCCAAACCCAUCUGUCAAGACACUUGUCCACUUGCUGUCCGCCCCACCAGCCCAACAAUUGUACUGGAGAGCCUCUGACCACAAGUCAUAGAAAAAGAGAAUGUCAUAAUCAACUGGAACAGCUUGAGGGAGUACAGUGGUAGAGACAGAGAAGAAGUGCCCUUGACGAGGAAACCAUGGCAGCCAUAUAUACGAAAAUCUGGUGCACGUGCAUGAAGCUGAUCACACAGGACAUACGGAGACUUUAACUGCAGAAAGUAACACGUACAGGUAAUUAUAAUUUGUUUUUAUUUAUUUAUUUAUUUUUUUUACAGUAUGUAAAUGACAUAGCCUUAUUACCACGCAGGACAUAAAUAAUGAUGUUUCUGCCUCUAAUGUUACAAGGGAAGUCACUCGACACUAUGCACCAUGCAUACCCAAGUUACAAAGAGUGUCGUUCUUUCUGCUGUUAGGCAACGAGUCCAACUCCGCUUUCAUGCAGAACAAUACGACAUGCUAUGAAUGUAACAAUGCGAACGAGCACCGUUCCGUCUCAAACAAAUGCGUGCUACUGCACUGUACGGCUCUGCUAAAUGUAAAGAGCAAAAGAGUAUGAUUAUACACCCAACGACAUCAAAAUGCAUAAAACGAUGGAAAUACUUAUCACUGAGAUGAAGUGGCUGUUGUAGUGAUGACGAGAGAAUAUUGAAGAUUGCUUUGAUGAUAGCUAGGCCCUUUUAUGAUACUGCUGAAACGAAAUUCGAAAAUAGAAUCCGCGGGUGGACCUGCACACUUCUUAAAUUUAGAGACGGCGAAUACGAUCACUCUCAUAGUGCGACCGCUUCAAUGAAUGUUCAAAAUGAUAGGCUAACGUGAACUUAAAUGACGCUGCAGCAUUAUAUCCCAUCUAAAAUAAACGUUUUCACAUUGUAGUACAUCGGACUACCGCUAACAUUGUCUGUGUGAAUAUUUAGAUAAUCACAAUUAUAGGCCUGUACAUGCGUCGUGAGGAACGUCAACUGUGAACUGAACGCCGGCGAUGGUAUCUGCGAACACGAUAGUGGGUGGGAACAGAACUUAUAUACUCAGGUGACGUGUAAUGAUUGGUUAGAUAAUGAGCAAUGACGUGCAUUAGAGUCUUCCGGGUAGAACUUCCGCUAAACGCUCCCAUUUCUCUCAAAAAUACUAACAAGUACAUGUUGCUCACAUAUUAUUGUAGCCUAGUUU